UUUGUGGCGAGGUGAAACACCGCGAGUUCAAAGCUAAAGCAACGGAGGCGGAGGUCGGCCAACCCGCAGAGAGCUCCGACAGGACGGCCGAGUCAGCUUCACCCAGCCGCUGAACACACCCAGAGCCCCGGCUGCCGCUGCUGCUGCUGCUCCCCGCAGAGAGCAACGAGGCUCCGGCAGGAAAACAUGGACGCACGGCUGGACGAGAUCAGCGAGAAACUGCAGAGACACAUUAAAAUGGUAAAGACGUCGCCAGACAAGGAGACGUAUCCAAAGCGUUGGAGUUCUUCUAGUUGGCUUACAGCGUUCACCCAAGUGAGAAACUUUAACACCGAAUAAUGAAAAUUGAAGAGCUCCUGGCACAGCAGGGCUCCGAGAGCGAGGAUGAAGAGUUUGUGAAUGUCAACAACAGCGGUUUAAUGCUUUGAAGAGAUUUACAUGACAAGCUGUACGACCACCAGAGAGAGGGAGUGGCCUUCCUCUACAGCCUGCACAGAGAUGGCCGUAAGCGGGGCAUCCUGGCAGACAACAUGGGCCUGUGUAAGACCAUCCAGGUCACCUCCUUCCUCUCUGGCAUGUAUGAUGCUGAGCUGGUUAAGCACACUCUUCUUGUCAUGCCAACAUCACUCAUCAAAAACUGGACCAAAGAGUUCACCAAGUGGACUCCUGGCAUGAGUGUUGAGGAGUUUCAUGGCCCCACCAAAGCAGAGCAGACAAGGAAUUUGGGGGAAAAAAAAGAGGCGGCGUGCUCAUCACCACGUACCAAAUGCUCAACAACUGGCAGGUUGUGGCAUCUUACCACGGCCCAGAGUUUAAAUGGGACUACAUCAUCCUGGACGAAGCACACAAGAUGAAAACCACCGGUACACCUGUUCAACGACCUGAGCAUCUGUGGCCGGGUUCCAGCUGGGGUUGUAGAUUACAACUCGAUUUGCUGCUGUCAGGGUGAUGCUGACUCCGCCUACCUGGGUGGUCAGGAGGAAGACAGAAUACUGCUUGUCUGUCUGAAACUGUGAGAUGUGCUUCUCUCUUUCGGCAAGUUCAGUUAUUGUACCGUCCAGCCUCACUAUCUUGAACCCUCUGUUUACCAGGACCCGUUCAAUGAUGUCAAGCACCUUCCUGAAGUGAGCAAAGACAAGAGUGUUUUGACCUUCUUCCCUGAGCCUCUCAAGAAGUGCGAUCAGAAACACCAGCUUCCCGGACUCUGAUAUCAGUGUUUUGUCUGAAACACCGGCAAUAUGGUAGUCUUGGCCCUGUUGGCUUUCAGCUACACUUUCCUCCAGGCCCAACUGAGCGAUGGCUGCAGCAGAAAGCAUCCUUGGGUGGUCAGUUUCUUUUAUUUUUUUUAUUUAGGAUGUUAAGCUCAGCAAGCGGCGACUUGGUGGUCAUCAGCAGCUCCUUGAUAUGGUCCAUAUCAGUAAAUUAUUGGGUUUCCUUGAUGUGGUCUUUCAGACCAUAUCAAGUUGUAAAUUUACAACUUUAAUCUGAUUUAAUUCUGAUUUUUUUUUUUUCCUUGGAAUAGUAUUUUUUUGUCCCUAUAGCAGCAUGAAUACACCGUCGUACUGUGUGUGAUGUACCUGCUUGUCAAAUACAUUCAAAGUGGUGACACUAAAGCAUGAUGUUAAAAUAACUGUCCAAACUAAUUUUUAUUCUUAGUGAUAGCCAAUAAAUUAACCCUUUGAAAUCUGCGCAAAGUCACUGUUUCUGGUGAUCAGCAAACUAGCAAGAGAAGAAAAAAUGGCGCAUCAUCUACAAAGUUAAAGUUUACAUCUGAAGGUGUAAAUUUGGAAGAAAAAAAGUGUUCAAAUGUUUUAAGUUACAAAUAUUCGGACUUUAAAGCAAUUAGAUUGUCUUAAAGUUGAAUUAUGGGGUCUUAAUUUCAGUGGAAACAUGUCUGGUUUUAUUUGUUAAUUUAUUUUUGUCUGAAUUAGUCGAGGUCCUCUGCAGCAGACUCGGGUUAUGAUGAACUUUGUGUUGCUUUAUGGUGGGGUGACAGUCAGUGUGGACUGAACCAGAACCUGUGAGGGGUCUGCAUCUUUCUAUGUACUUAUCAAAAUAAAAGCCUUAAUUUGUA